rnacentral:rRNA from 1 species
UACGGAGGAUGCGAGCGUUAUCCGGAUUUAUUGGGUUUAAAGGGUGCGUAGGUUGUUUUUUAAGUCAGCGGUGAAAGUUUGCGGCUCAACCGUAAAAUUGCAGUUGAAACUGGCAGUCUUGAGUACAGUAGAGGUGGGCGGAAUUCGUGGUGUAGCGGUGAAAUGCAUAGAUAUCACGCAGAACCCCGAUUGCGAAGGCAGCGUACCGGCCGGUCACUGACGCUGAGGCACGAAAGCGCGGGUAUCGAACAGG